UACGAAGGGGGGCUAGCGUUGUUCGGAAUUACUGGGCGUAAAGCGCACGUAGGCGGAUUUGUAAGUCAGGGGUGAAAAUCCCGGGGCUCAACCUCGGAACGCUUCUUGAUACUGCAAGUCUUGAGUCCGAUAGAGGUGAGUGGAAUUCCUAGUGUAGAGGUGAAAUUCCGUAGAUAUUGGGAAGAACACCAGUGGCGAAGGGCGGCUCACUGGUCCGGUACUGACGCUGAGGUGCGAAAGCGUGGGGAGCAAACAGG
rnacentral:rRNA from 1 species